UCAGUCACUGCAAUAUAUUGGUAAGCAAAUGUAUAUGUGAAUUCAAUAUUUAUUAAUAGAAAAUUGGUACCUCUCCAUCUUUACUGAAUACAUUUGAAUGAAUAUUGCUUAAAGAUUGUUUUGAAAGGGUCACAAAUUGUUAGUUUGCUUCAUUUGGGUCCUGAGUGAGGAUCUGAUAAUAAUUACUCUGUGAAAAAAAUAUCUGCGCAUGAUACUUCUUUGGGAAUGUUUGAUUUCCUAAAUUCACUCUUUUUGAGAAAGUAAAAAUUAUCAGAAAAUUAGGCAUAAUUGUGUACAUACAUAUAUACAUACAGACAAACUCAAAUACGUUAUAAAGGCUUAGAGCAGAGGCUAUGGACGUGUGUGACCAUCUGCCUGUUGAAGAGAAAAGGCGUUUUUAUGUAUUUUGACACAUCCUUGAUUUUCCUUCCUCAUUUAAUUCACAGCCAAACCUUUAUAUUAUUUUGGUCUUUGUUUUUGAAGUUUUUGAAUCUAUGACACUAUCUCAUAAUUUAGCCCUGCCGCUCACUCACUCAUAUUUCAUUUUUGCUUAAAGUUUUCCUUUUUGCUUUUUUGCAUCUCCUGUCACACUGUACUUUCUUUUGGUCUUUGUUAGUUUUUUUCCCCCCUUUUUUCUGUCACUCACUCUGUGGCAGCCGAGAAGUACUACAAGAGAGGGAGGAGAGAGAUACUGAACAAGGCUGUGUAUAUGUGUGGGGAGAGAGAGAGGAAUUGGAAGAAUAAUGAGACUUUCCUGAGGAUAAAAAAGCUCGUGUGUAUCAGUUACCAACCAGGUCUGAGAUAUAUAUAAUAGGUCAGAGUUUUAGAGUUUGCUUCUGUGUAGGUUGCUAAGUAAUAAGUGUAUUUUUUUCAAUUACAGACCCAAGAAGAGUUUUAAAACACUGUGUUUAUUAAAGAUGAAAGUAAAGUAUUAACAAUUAGAAUAAGUACGAAAAUGAUGAAAAGUAAACAAAUAGUAGAUGAAAUCCCCAGUUGAGCAUAAUAUACACAUGGAAUCAUUUUAUUCCUAAGAGAGUAAAUAUUUAUCAUCUGACUCCACUCCAACAUUUAUUUGAAUAACUGACACAGUCCCCUACCUCCCAUGAUGUUUGGAGAUACAUAUUUGUUCAGAGGACCUUAUUGGAACACUCCCAGCUGUUUUUGAAUAUUCACGCCAAAAGUAAUCACUUCCCAACUGCCCUACAUUUCAUUUCUCCAUUGAGAUUAUAUCAGAAGCAGAGACAGAAGUGCUACCCACUAUACUGCUUUCCACAGGAGCUUGUGUUCUAAUAGACAGAUUCAGACAUCAAAACAAGCCACUGCAGUGCGGUCACAGUGCUAUGAGAUUAAAAAAAAAAAAAAAAAAA
rnacentral:lncRNA from 1 species